AUCGACUCCAGGGCACUAACGACAACAAAAGUAUAUUUGGAUAUGACUGAAAGUGUCAGUGUGUGACCUUUAGCACUUUUAACCCUGAUUCCAUUUACACUGUCUACUGCACGGAAAGUGUGAGGAGAGCAAAUCGUUAUUUGCUGUUCUGUUUCCUGACUUUAUCGUUGAAACAAUAUGUCAAUCAAAGUAAGAGGUACCUUCUUAGAUUAUUCAUCGACUGAAGAGGGAGACAGAGAGAGAGAAAGAGAAGAGGAAGAAGAGAGAAAAAUGAAGAGCAAUGGGGUGUGAUCCUUCCCAUGAAACUAUCCCCAAAUCCUUCUAAAGGUUCUAAACUCAAAAAAUGUUUGAGUGUGAGUUGAUUUUUGUAGGAACCAGUGAACAGAUUGGGCUUCCUGCCUGGAUUGAUGUGUAGGAGCAUAAAGGCAGAAGCCCAAGGAAACCAGUCCUGUGCGCUCACAAGAAUCGUGAGGAGGACUUUGCCUUUUACAAUCCUAUAGAAUUUGGGUUUGUCCAAGCUUAAACAGAUCUCUAAGUUCUCUGUUUGACAUCUGUGUUUCGUUUUGGGGUCCCGUCCAGUAUCGUUUGAAUUAAGGAGCAGAGCUGAACCAGGAGUACAGCCUUAUAAUGACUUCCAAACUGUGGGGUGCCCUGUGCAGGGAGAUUAGGGGUUUGUUGGAUUGGCUGAAAAUCUUGAUGAUUUUGGAAAUUCCAUUUAAAUUUAGAGUAAAGUUGUAGAAGCCAUUCUGAGAUAGGCAAUACAGCCUUUGGGGAAAACGCUCUGUUUAAUGUUGGCUGUUCAGAAAAAAGCCAGGUAUACGCUGAAUCAUAAACAAGAAGGGUGGUAACUUCUGUCAAUAUAAGAGACAUAAAAACAGACAUAGGAUUUCCUGGUAUGCAAUGUGGUUUUGUUAAUGGAGAGAAGAGACAUUUUGUGGCAAACUCCUACUAGCAGGAAAAACCAUGGCUUUUCCAGAAAUUAAGGUCAGGAAAUGGGAAAGAAGCCAGAGAGGAUAACUACUCCAGCGCCAUGAGCAAAGGUGCUCAUAUAAACGCCUAAGCUUUUCUUAUCUGUAGAUGAGGCCCUAGAGGGAGGAGCUGCAGAGGGCAGCGUGCCCACUUAACAAUAUCCCUUCCAGGGUGGUCUCUGACCCUGAGGGUGAAGAAAAUGUGGCACAAGGUUCAGACUGGGAGUUUUACCCCCUUCCUGGGGCUCCUUUAAGCCUAGUGUUGUUGACUAUGUUAACGAUAGUGCUCCAUUCACAGACUUCCAUCUAGGUUCUUUGGAGACCUCUGCUGUCGGAAAGGAGCUUGUCUGGUUCAGCCGUGUGGGAGAGACCCCUCAAAUAAAUGAAUGAAGAGGUCAAGCUGGAAAAGGAUUCCUACAGGACCCAGGCCCGGAUUUCUCUAAGGCCAUAGGAGAAGGAUGGGAGAAGUUAGGGCUAUGGAGUGAAGAAGGUCUGUGGUAUGGAGGGGAAUUGAGUGCCAAGUAAUAACCAUGCACUGUCUUCUCUUUACCUUUUCUUUUGGGGGGAACUUGGAAGAAGUUGUGAAAGACUGCUAAUAUUCUCUUCUCACUUUCACUUAGGGGAAAUUUUAAUAACAUAGAGAAAAUUGCAUUCAUUAGAAUUCACUUAGAUGGACAAAUGUCCUAUACAGGAAAGUGCUUGGGGUAUAGAUUGAAAUUCCAAGGAUGUGGAUGGCACUCUUUUAAGCUAGAUAACUUUCUCACUUCUUGGAGGAGAGGAAAGGAGAGACUGGUACUAGUGGACCCACCUGAAUGAUGGAAGGUCGCAAACUCUAUCAUGCAAUCUCUCUUCAUGCCUGUCUAAAUUUGUAAUCAAGGUAAAAAAUUCAAGAAAUGCUUGAGCAUGAGUGGAUUUUUGGUGGAAGCCAAUGAGGAGGUUCCGUGUUGAACUAUGGGAGUGCAUGCAUGGGAGAACAGGAAGCCAGAGAGGAGGAUGAGAAACUUGGACAUCACUGGAGUGUUCUGCGCUCUCAGAGUCUGCAUAAUUGGCAACUAAGUUUAACUAGAUCUAUGAUGGGGUGUGUGUGUGGUCACCUAGCUGAGUAAAAGGAGUCAUAUCUUCCUGGGAAUCUUCCUGCCUCAGGACUGUAUGUUCCCUUGGCAGGACUUUACAUACUGUAUUGUAAUUACAGUCCUGCUGACUACCUUUUUUUUUUCCCAAACACAGACACUUCUAAUCCCCUCAGCUAUCACUGUUCCCUCAUUCAAAGGCUCCCUUGUCUCUUUGUUUCCAUAGGAGGUCCAUGUAGAUAAGGCAAUAAUCCUUUCCAAUAAUUCUUUUUUUUUGAGGAAGAUCAGCCCUGAGCUAACAUCUUCUGCCAAUCCUCCUCUUUUUGUUGAGGAAGACUGGCCCUGAGCUAACAUCCGUGCCCAUCUUCCUCUACUUUAUAUGUGGGAUGCCUGCCACAGCAUGGCUUGAUGAGUGGUGCUGUGUCCGCACCCAGGAUCUGAACCAGUGAACCCCAGGCCGCCGAAGCGGAAUGUGCGAACUUAACUGCUGCGCCACUGGGCCGGCCCCCCCUUUCCAAUAAUUCUAACCUUGUCCCCAUCAGAUGUAUCUAAUAAGACCUAAAAGAAAAAGGAGGGGAACGCCCUUGUGAAUCCCAUGUGACCACCAUAUUCUUUUCUGCCUCACAUCUUGGUUUAUCUUAGCCUCCUGCCUAAAUGCCGUCCUUCCAUCUAAGUCUGAUCCAUCCUUCAAGCCCUAGCUAACAGCACACCUUCUGCCGAACCUUUCUCUGCUCCUUGCAGUCCUUACUGAUCUCCUUUCUAGCAUUGACCUUGUCUCUCUAACUCCAUUGCAUCCUCUGAGGAUGAGGCAUGUUUUUACUUCUGAAAACCCCACAUGCCUAGCACAAUGCUGAGGGCAUAGUAAGCAUUUCAUUUAAACGCGUUUAUUGCUAGCUUUGUGCAAGUGUGGUCUACUGAUUAAAAAUGCAAGCCCCUAGAGGGUAGGGCCUAGGACUUGCAGGUGUUUUUUUAACAGGGCUUCACACGUUUUAGUCUGUUUGACUCUAUUGAAAAAUGAGGACUAUGAGAGUGCAAAAAGCCUCAUUGAAAGUCCCCAUAGGAUGCAUGCUUGCUCCAGUACGUUAUGAUGGAUGUGACACAGCAAUGAGCUGCUCUGUAGGUGUACUUCCAAAGGCCAGGCACGCCAGGAGAACAAUCAUUACCUACUGAGAUUUUAACUGAUUUCCCUUUGUGCAAAUAUUUCUGUAACACUUCUUAAAGGACCCAACGUCUUGACUUUGAAUUCAUCCUGAAUUGAAUAAUGAAUUAUUAUUACUACGAAAGAAGAGCAAAGUAUAAGUAGAAAAUCAGCAACCAUGGGUCCGUAGUAAGACUAGAAAAAUGAAGUUAAGCCAGAGUGUCUUUACUCACUCAAAGAGCUCAUACCUUUCUUAGAGCCUUGUGUUAUUAAUAAUAAUAAUAAAAAACUUUGUCAGCUACUUGGAUCUGGAGAGCAUUCCAAGACCAACAGAAAUCGUUUCAGGGAGCCAAGUCUCAGGGUUUGCAUAAUUGCUAAACACUGUACUUCUCAACUUUCAUAAGACAAACCUAUCCUCAAAAUUUAUUUAUGAGAUGAAUAAUUGAGCCUGAAAAUUUGAUUCUGACAUUUCCUGUCCCUAUUGUGGACCUCUGAAGAGUUGGCUUAAUCACGUUUUCAGUAGUGUCCAAGAAUGACAUUCUUCUGACUCCUUUUAGGCAGAGACUUUUUAGCAUAAGUGAUUGCCUCAGUUUUGCUAACCAUUUCCUUCGGGGCAUGCAAUUGUGCCUCUUUCACUUGUGGAGUAGGUCCUGCAGAAACGGAGGAAUCACAUCCCUCCCCCGGUCUUCCUCCAGGCCAUCAAUACCAUGGAAGAUUUGACUGCAUCAAAAGCCUUUAUGGAUCAUAGACAAAGGAUAUUCCUUUUCAUCCCUGCAAAAGUUAUCUUGCUCAGGGAGUCACAUAGAGAAGGGUUGUGUGAGGCAGGAAUGAACUGACUCAUUGGUAUAUCUCCCGUGAACUCUCUGGAUUGCUUUAGAGGGAUGAAACUGAGCAGUUGAACGACUGUCUGAAUUCCGAGGCAGGGAACCGGCUUAAGAACAGCAAACACAAUUUGGGCCUGCAUAAAAUAAGGGGCUUUCUAGGGGAUCAGAAGAAACCUGUUUUGCACAGGUGUUACUCUAAUUGUGAUCCAGAGCUAAGGAGAAUUUCACAGUGGUUCCUGCAUUGAGACCACAGCUGUUAUAACUCGAGCCCCUCCCCACCCAGUGUGGUGGUCUUGCACUGUUGCAUAGGUCCAUAAUAGGAUGCACAUAGACAGAUAAAGCAAGAUGUGAAGAUUCGUGCCUGGUUCCAGUGAGUGGGGGUAGCUUUGCAUCCAUAGUUAGGUUUCGGUCUGUUUAAUAGGCCUUUGGAGAGGCAAAUGUACAGACUGAAAACUUCUGAUGUAUAGAGCCACUUGCUGUAGCCGUUACCGAGUGAAGAUUGCACGUGCUUUUAUUUUAAGUUAAAGUGGAAGGCAAAAGUAAAGAAAACAACUUUUGGUGUUCUAGAGACUGACACCCAGGUCAACAGGAUAAAAGUUUCUGUUAAUAGGGUUUUUUGGUAUUAUCACUCUUGAAAGGUGGUUUGGUCCUGAACGUUAGUAAGUCUUUUCGAUACAAAAUGUUAUCUACUAUAUUCGAUUCUUGGGGUAAGAAUAGAGAGUGUCCAUUCCUUUUUGCUAGUGGAUUCACUUGAUUAUACAUGGGUCAUUUAGUAGUCUUCUUUUAAGCUGGUGGGGGUGGGUUUCCUUGGGGGUUGUCAUUCUGUACAGUGUUGGCACAAUAUUAUGAAAUAUGGGACCCAGUAGAGUAGACCAGUUUUUAAGAUCGAGUGUUUGGUUUGCUGCAGUUUCUGGGAUGAGCAAUUAAGGUACUUAAUCUCUGUAAAAUUAACAUUUAAAAAAAUAUCAACAACAAAUAACUUUUCCUUGGUUAUUCAGAACUCCUUAUUGAACUAUCAGUGUGAGUGCUUUUUAAUUUUGAAAAUCUCGUCACCCUAUCCUAGGUGGCGUAGCUCCAGUCUUAGACUGUCUGUCUUGGGCAUGCUUACCUCCCCCAUUUUCUACAGAGCUUUUAUUUUCUUGCUCAACUCUGUAUAAAUUGCUUUAUAGUCACUUUCCCGCAUAGCUAUAUAUCAGUGCUUUUUCCUUCCUGUUCUUGUAGCACCUUAUAUAUUUUAUUGGUAAAGAGAUUGUAAAUUCUUCAAGGUUAGGAGCUGUUGUAUACUUAUAGCUGUAUCUCUAUAAUCUGAGUAUAUUUAUUAAUUCAAAGAUUAUUCCUCACCUCUUUCGCAAGCUUUUGUUUUUUUCUUAAUAUGCCCUCUUUUCACCAUCUCGCUGAGAGACAUACUUUGUUAAUAACUUUAAUUCAGUGGUUCUCAACCUUAGCUACAUAUUGGGAUCAUGUGGAGAGAUUUAAAAAGUGCUGAUACCUGGAUCCCAUCCCUAGGAAUUCUGAUUUAAUUGUCUGUAGUGUGGCCUGGGCUUUGGGGUUUUGUAAACCCUCCCUAGGUGAUUCUAACAUCCGGCCAAGGUUAAGGGCCACUGCACUAGUGCCCUAUCACUUCCAAUCAUGGGUUUACUUGGUUUUGCAUUCUCUGCAAAUGUGUAGCACCUUAAUCUUUUGCAUAUUUACUUAAAAUGAUGAUGAUAAUAGUAAUGAACAGUUAUUGAACACUUCUUCUAUGCCACUUCUUCUAAACACUUUACAAUUUAUUUACUUUCACAAAAAUAAUAAGAGAUAAGAAAUAGUGUUACUCACAUUUUAUAGAAGAAGAAAUUUAGGCAUAGAGAGGUUAAGUAAAUUGCCCCAAGUCACAUAGCUAGUGAUUGACAGAUCUGAGAUUUAUACGUAGGCCGUUGAACUCCAGAGCCCAUAUUCCCAAUUGCAACAUCAUGCUGUUGUCUGUUACACCUUCUUCUUGGGGCAGUGACUCCUGAUUAAUGGAAAUUUCCAAAAAAAACCCUGCUCUCCAGUCACAUAGCAUUUCCCCUGUUGCCUUCGUCUAUACAGCUCUGCACUGAGUGAUAUGAUGAGGAAGAAAUUUCUUCUAAAAAGGGAAUAGACAGAUCAAAGUAUACAAGAAAACACGCCACAGAGCCAUGGAAACAUCUAAUCCAGUGUAUUCAAUCCUGGCGCUAUUGACCAGUUGCGUCCCCCUCCAAUUGUGACAAUCAAAAAUGUUUCCAGACAUUGCCUAAUAUCCCUUCACUGAGAACGACUAUUCUAAUCAAGCGUCUUUCAAACGAGUAUUAGUAAUUAAACUUAAAGUAAUAAGAUGUUUUGAUUGAUGGCGACAACUUUUUUCAAAACAAACAUAUCAUAAUUUAUUUAUUCAAAUAGGUAUUUCUUUCCAAGUAACCAACUUGGAAGACUACACUCUUAUUCCAACAAUGCUGCUAUUGUUAAAACAUUUUAAAAAUUGUCUUCAGAUCUUGUAGUACAAUUUUUAAAUAUUAUCCUGUAUAAUGAAUCAUCCUUUAGUGGUGGGUUUAAUAUUUAGAAAGGUCUAAAAUAUAUUUAGAGACAAGUAUGGUGAGCAACGUAUGUUGAAGAAGAUAAGCUGUAGAGUUUUUUGUAACUUCAGCAACAUGGUCUUUCUUAUAUGGCUCCUAAACUGUCUUUGACAGCCUUUAAACAAGAGGGGUUCAAACUAAUGUUCUGAUUAGGGUGCUCUUUGUAGAAGUCCUUCCGGAGCUUCUCCCUUGCAGCACAAUGCUAUAUAAUACUAUUGUAUAAUGCUUAUUUUGGUUUAAAAAUAAAUUUUAUUUUCUAAGCAUCACAUAUCAUGCGUAUACUAAGAAUUUUCAUGUGUGAGCAAGUCCCAGUACCAGAGAAAAGUGGGAAGGCUUCCUAAACGGAGUUAGUUUUGAAAGAGGGAAAAGCCAAGGACGGCCUGAGACAAGUUGGGGAAACCAUCCAGAUAUGGGCAGUAGUCUGUGCAAAGCUUGGAGAUGGGAAGGAGUUAGCUGUGAGUUAGGGAUGGUAGGCAGGUGCACUUAACUAGAUUGGAGAGUCUGAGUCUAGGACUGUAGGUCUCAAUCCUGGCCAUGUAUCAGCAUCACCUGAGAAGUUAAAGAAAAAAGUGAUAGCUGCUUGAGUGCCACACUGGACCUAUUAAAUAAGAUUCUCUGGGGGUGGCGCCUUGAGCCUCCGUGUUUUGUUUUGAAAAUCUUCGCAAGCCAUCUUAAUGCAUAGACAUGUUUGAGAAUCAAUUUAAUAAGACAUAAACUUGAUUGAGUAAAGAGAGCCUGCAAUUCACGUUUUCCAUGACUCACAAAGCAAUAGUGGGCCAGAUUAGGCUUCUGAGCAGAGGAGUAAUAACCUCACGCAGUUGUGUAGAUACCAAGAUGACGAUACUGAUUUAAUAUCAGAAAAUCCAAAGGUCUCUGGUUUUUAGCUUGAAGUUAAAUAGCUUGUCCAUGUUCAUCUAGCCAGUAAGUGCAAAGCGAAGGCAUAGUCCCCAAGCCUUUUGAUUUCAUUUCAGUGUGCACAGGGGAGGACCAGAGAAAGAAUUAGGGAAUUUGUUGAGUGCAGGAGUGGGAGAGAGGUUAGAAUAAUAUGGAAGGUGUCCAUAAAUUGAGAGAGCCUUAGAGAGCAGGAGGGGAGAAAACUGAAGAUUGAACACCCACCAUGCGCCAGGCUAUGUCUCAUUAAAUCUUCCCAAUACCCCAACAGGGUAGUAGUGGGGCACACAAGGAUACUGAGGCUCAGAGUGGUCAAUAACUUGCCUAACGUCACGCAGAUAGGAACUGAGAUUCAGACCCAGUCUAGGUCUGUCAACCUCAGAGCUCACAUUCUUUUUACUAGCCCCUUUGGUCCUUUGUCUGACAGCAGUGGUUCUUCACCAAGGGCAGUUUCGCACCCAAGGGACAUUUGGCCAUGUCUGGAGACAUUUUGGGUUGUCACAGUUGUGGGGUAGGUGGGGGGUGCUACUGGUAUCUAGUGGGUUGAGGCCAGAUAUGCUGCUCAACAAUGCACAGGACAGCCCCACUGAAUUAUCCAGCUCAAAAUGGCAAUAGUGUUGAGGUUGACAAACCUUGACCUAGAACGAUGGUUGUAGCUCAGGAAGUUGGAAAUGAAAGACAAGUUUAUGGGUAAGAUGAUGAAGUGGCUUCAAACAUUCAUGUAAUAGUUAGAUGUUCCGUUAAAUCUAGCUGUGUCUCAUUUCCUUCCCCUUGAGAGUCGCUUGAGGCUGAGGCGUUGCUGACUACAUAGUAAUCUAGUAUCUGAACUUCUCAUGCCUUAACUGCUUCUUUACCUGAGCCCUCCUUCAAGACCCCCAGAUGGGUUUACCACAAGAACAACAGCCUUUGUGCCAGUUGCUAACCACCUGUUAAGGCGAGGAGGCUUUCCCCCCUCAUUUUUUUCUUUCUUUUUUCUCCUGGUUUUAUUAUUAUUAUUAUUUUUCUUUUUUAUGGCCCAUUGAGUUCUUGGCAGAUCUGUUAGACAUUUGCUCCAAGUUUCUCUUUUGGGGCCUUUUGUUAGAAGGAGGUGGAUCCUUGUUUACUAGGACCUGAGUGGAAACAUCCAAGCCCAGAGGCCACAAUAAGGCAGCCAUUUUUAGUCACUUUCCACCUGGGCUGAAUCUGAGCCAGAAGAUAAGAGGCAAAACAUAUUCCAUUGUCAGGCCCCUAAGCCAUCUACUCCCCUGAUUUCUCCCAUGAAUACUCUUGUUCCAACGCCAGCAAGCCCACAUACUCUGUUUGUGGUGGCUUGGAGCCAAAAUCCAGGUGUGAUAUUCCAAAGCAUUCUUGUAGAGGAGUUUUCAUCUGGUAUUUUGUUUACCUGCAUUUUUGGCCAGUCUCAACCUUUUGGGAGCCAAAAGCUUACAGAACUGUAACAUUUCUAGCUCUUACCACACCUGUCUACAAAAUAUGCGUGAAUACAGACUUUACACAAUGUGCCUGUGGCCUUUGGUGACCCCUUCAUUACCUUUAUCUUGCUUCAGGAAAUUUCAAGAGACUGUGGAAACGCCUCCUGUCUAGCUACUGCUCAAUGGAAAUCUGGUACCCUCACAAAGUGCUCUGAGGUCCUUGGCAGGAAAAAAGGCACUCUGUAAAAUCAUGAUAUGUUGUUCUUGGGACUACUUCCUAUUUUUUAAUACAAGACGCUUCUUGAAUGUUCAUCUUAAGGUAGCCCUGGAGGAAAACCAUAAUAAAUAUACUAUGCUGUAAAUGAGUCCUGCCACUCUAUCCAUUCUAGGAAAAGACCUAAAAAUAAUCUAGAUUUGGAUUUUGGUGC
rnacentral:lncRNA from 1 species